GAUGUGGCUUGGUGGAAGAGCCUUUGUUUGGCGUUCAGAAGGUCCGAGGUUCAGUCCUCGGCAUCUCCA
rnacentral:tRNA from 1 species